GGGUGUUUCAUCUGCCCUCUGCAAUGCGGGGAAGUACGUUUGGGACUGGCCCACUGUGGCUCGUGGUGAAGGCUUUGCACUUGCCCCCAAAGUGUUGACUUCCCGUGGAGGAGCAGCCGAAAUUUCUGGAUAUCUCAAGGGAUGCCAUAUUAACGAUGAUCCGGAUGGCCAAAAUGAAGAGGAAGCUAUUGUCUAUAGAGGGGUGUCCCAGAGCUAUUACAACGUGAGGGAUUUUUCAGUAGUAUCUCAUUCUCUAGCCGAAUACAAUAGUAAUUUGACAGUUCCUAGCAUACCUCCAACUUCGAGGUCACAUAGUCUCCCAUGUGGUUUGAAUGAGGUUCCAACGGGUGUUG
rnacentral:misc_RNA from 1 species